rnacentral:rRNA from 1 species
AACGAACGCUGGCGGCAGGCUUAACACAUGCAAGUCGAGCGCCCCGCAAGGGGAGCGGCAGACGGGUAAGUAACGCGUGGGAACGUACCUUUUGGUUCGGAACAACUCCGGGAAACUGGAGCUAAUACCGGAUAAGCCCUAACGGGGAAAGAUUUAUCGCCGAAAGAUCGGCCCGCGUCUGAUUAGCUAGUUGGUGAGGUAACGGCUCACCAAGGCGACGAUCAGUAGCUGGUCUGAGAGGAUGAUCGGCCACGCUGGGACUGAGACACGGCCCAGACUCCUACGGGAGGCAGCAGUGGGGAAUAUUGGACAAUGGGCGCAAGCCUGAUCCAGCCAUGCCGCGUGAGUGAUGAAGGCCUUAGGGUUGUAAAGCUCUUUUGUCCGGGAAGAUAAUGACUGUACCGGAAGAAUAAGCCCCGGCUAACUUCGUG